rnacentral:rRNA from 1 species
UGAAGCGAAAGUAAAAUUUCGUGGAGGUCCGAACCCACGAGCGUUGAAAAGCUCGGGGAUGACUUGUGGGUAGCGGUGAAAUUCCAAUCGAGCCCGGAGAUAGCUGGUUCGCCCCGAAAUAGCUUUAGGGCUAGCCUCAAGGUGAGAGAUACGGAGGUAGAGCACUGAAUGUCCUAGGGGGUAUUGCACCUACCGAAGACUAUCAAACUCCGAAUGCCGUCAUCUUAUACUUGGGAGUCAGACUGUGGGUGAUAAGAUUCAUAGUCGAAAGGGCAACAGCCCAGAUCGUCAGCUAAGGUCCCUAAAUGUAAGUUAAGUGGUAAAGGAUGUGGGAUUGCACAGACAACCAGGAUGUUGGCUUAGAAGCAGCCACUCAUUCAAAGAGUGCGUAAUAGCUCACUGGUCGAGUGAUCCUGCGCCGAAGAUUUCCGGGGCUAAAACUUACUACCGAAGCUACGGCAUCAGUAAUGAUGGGUAGGGGAGCUUCCCAUACGGGUUGAAGCA